GACGUAGGGGGCCAGCAUUGCUCGGAAUUACUGGGCGUAAAGGGUUCGUAGGCGGCUUUCUAAGUCGGGGGUGAAAUCCUGGAGCUCAACUCCAGAACUGCCUUCGAUACUGGAGAGCUCGAGUCCGGGAGAGGUGAGUGGAACUGCGAGUGUAGAGGUGAAAUUCGUAGAUAUUCGCAAGAACACCAGUGGCGAAGGCGGCUCACUGGCCCGGUACUGACGCUGAGGUGCGAAAGCGUGGGGAGCAAACAGG
rnacentral:rRNA from 1 species